AUGGUAAUUAAACCUGUCAAGAUUAUAGCAGCUCUCUUCUAUGUUAUUUAUACUGAGUUACGGAUCUAAGUAACGCCAGCCUUAGCCACUCUUAAGUGGCUUUCAUACUUAGUUGCUGUUCUCUUAGGCUUAACUCCCGUUUAUCUGUAUAAGUUGUAUAAGUAAGGGAUUAACCAGGUGUUGGAUGAGAAGCAGCCUAGGUGAGAUUUGUUCUCUUAGGCUUAACUCCCGUUUAUCUAUAUAAGUUGUAUAAGUAAGGGAUUAACCAGGUGUUGGAUGAGAAGCAGCCUAGGUGAGAUCCAUUUGAUCUGUUAGCUGCUAAUGGAUUCUAUCGUCAUUUCGACAGUGAAAUAAAUCUUUGAGAAGCAGCCUAGGUGAGAUCCAUUU
rnacentral:lncRNA from 1 species